UUAAGCGACUAAGCGUACACGGUGGAUGCCCUGGCAGUCAGAGGCGAUGAAGGACGUGCUAAUCUGCGAUAAGCGUCGGUAAGGUGAUAUGAACCGUUAUAACCGGCGAUUUCCGAAUGGGGAAACCCAGUGUGUUUCGACACACUAUCAUUAACUGAAUCCAUAGGUUAAUGAGGCGAACCGGGGGAACUGAAACAUCUAAGUACCCCGAGGAAAAGAAAUCAACCGAGAUUCCCCCAGUAGCGGCGAGCGAACGGGGAGGAGCCCAGAGCCUGAAUCAGUGUGUGUGUUAGUGGAAGCGUCUGGAAAGGCGCGCGAUACAGGGUGACAGCCCCGUACACAAAAAUGCACAUGCUGUGAGCUCGAUGAGUAGGGCGGGACACGUGGUAUCCUGUCUGAAUAUGGGGGGACCAUCCUCCAAGGCUAAAUACUCCUGACUGACCGAUAGUGAACCAGUACCGUGAGGGAAAGGCGAAAAGAACCCCGGCGAGGGGAGUGAAAAAGAACCUGAAACCGUGUACGUACAAGCAGUGGGAGCACGCUUAGGCGUGUGACUGCGUACCUUUUGUAUAAUGGGUCAGCGACUUAUAUUCUGUAGCAAGGUUAACCGAAUAGGGGAGCCGAAGGGAAACCGAGUCUUAACUGGGCGUUAAGUUGCAGGGUAUAGACCCGAAACCCGGUGAUCUAGCCAUGGGCAGGUUGAAGGUUGGGUAACACUAACUGGAGGACCGAACCGACUAAUGUUGAAAAAUUAGCGGAUGACUUGUGGCUGGGGGUGAAAGGCCAAUCAAACCGGGAGAUAGCUGGUUCUCCCCGAAAGCUAUUUAGGUAGCGCCUCGUGAAUUCAUCUCCGGGGGUAGAGCACUGUUUCGGCAAGGGGGUCAUCCCGACUUACCAACCCGAUGCAAACUGCGAAUACCGGAGAAUGUUAUCACGGGAGACACACGGCGGGUGCUAACGUCCGUCGUGAAGAGGGAAACAACCCAGACCGCCAGCUAAGGUCCCAAAGUCAUGGUUAAGUGGGAAACGAUGUGGGAAGGCCCAGACAGCCAGGAUGUUGGCUUAGAAGCAGCCAUCAUUUAAAGAAAGCGUAAUAGCUCACUGGUCGAGUCGGCCUGCGCGGAAGAUGUAACGGGGCUAAACCAUGCACCGAAGCUGCGGCAGCGACGCUUAUGCGUUGUUGGGUAGGGGAGCGUUCUGUAAGCCUGUGAAGGUGUGCUGUGAGGCAUGCUGGAGGUAUCAGAAGUGCGAAUGCUGACAUAAGUAACGAUAAAGCGGGUGAAAAGCCCGCUCGCCGGAAGACCAAGGGUUCCUGUCCAACGUUAAUCGGGGCAGGGUGAGUCGACCCCUAAGGCGAGGCCGAAAGGCGUAGUCGAUGGGAAACAGGUUAAUAUUCCUGUACUUGGUGUUACUGCGAAGGGGGGACGGAGAAGGCUAUGUUGGCCGGGCGACGGUUGUCCCGGUUUAAGCGUGUAGGCUGGUUUUCCAGGCAAAUCCGGAAAAUCAAGGCUGAGGCGUGAUGACGAGGCACUACGGUGCUGAAGCAACAAAUGCCCUGCUUCCAGGAAAAGCCUCUAAGCAUCAGGUAACAUCAAAUCGUACCCCAAACCGACACAGGUGGUCAGGUAGAGAAUACCAAGGCGCUUGAGAGAACUCGGGUGAAGGAACUAGGCAAAAUGGUGCCGUAACUUCGGGAGAAGGCACGCUGAUAUGUAGGUGAAGCGACUUGCUCGUGGAGCUGAAAUCAGUCGAAGAUACCAGCUGGCUGCAACUGUUUAUUAAAAACACAGCACUGUGCAAACACGAAAGUGGACGUAUACGGUGUGACGCCUGCCCGGUGCCGGAAGGUUAAUUGAUGGGGUCAGCGCAAGCGAAGCUCUUGAUCGAAGCCCCGGUAAACGGCGGCCGUAACUAUAACGGUCCUAAGGUAGCGAAAUUCCUUGUCGGGUAAGUUCCGACCUGCACGAAUGGCGUAAUGAUGGCCAGGCUGUCUCCACCCGAGACUCAGUGAAAUUGAACUCGCUGUGAAGAUGCAGUGUACCCGCGGCAAGACGGAAAGACCCCGUGAACCUUUACUAUAGCUUGACACUGAACAUUGAGCCUUGAUGUGUAGGAUAGGUGGGAGGCUUUGAAGUGUGGACGCCAGUCUGCAUGGAGCCGACCUUGAAAUACCACCCUUUAAUGUUUGAUGUUCUAACGUUGACCCGUAAUCCGGGUUGCGGACAGUGUCUGGUGGGUAGUUUGACUGGGGCGGUCUCCUCCUAAAGAGUAACGGAGGAGCACGAAGGUUGGCUAAUCCUGGUCGGACAUCAGGAGGUUAGUGCAAUGGCAUAAGCCAGCUUGACUGCGAGCGUGACGGCGCGAGCAGGUGCGAAAGCAGGUCAUAGUGAUCCGGUGGUUCUGAAUGGAAGGGCCAUCGCUCAACGGAUAAAAGGUACUCCGGGGAUAACAGGCUGAUACCGCCCAAGAGUUCAUAUCGACGGCGGUGUUUGGCACCUCGAUGUCGGCUCAUCACAUCCUGGGGCUGAAGUAGGUCCCAAGGGUAUGGCUGUUCGCCAUUUAAAGUGGUACGCGAGCUGGGUUUAGAACGUCGUGAGACAGUUCGGUCCCUAUCUGCCGUGGGCGCUGGAGAACUGAGGGGGGCUGCUCCUAGUACGAGAGGACCGGAGUGGACGCAUCACUGGUGUUCGGGUUGUCAUGCCAAUGGCACUGCCCGGUAGCUAAAUGCGGAAGAGAUAAGUGCUGAAAGCAUCUAAGCACGAAACUUGCCCCGAGAUGAGUUCUCCCUGACUCCUUGAGAGUCCUGAAGGAACGUUGAAGACGACGACGUUGAUAGGCCGGGUGUGUAAGCGCAGCGAUGCGUUGAGCUAACCGGUACUAAUGAACCGUGAGGCUUAACCUU
rnacentral:rRNA from 3 species